rnacentral:tRNA from 1 species
GGGUACGUAGCUUAGCGGAUAGAGCAACCGCCUUCUAAGCGGUCGGUCACAGGUUCGAUCCCUGUCGUACCCG